GACGAACGCUGGCGGCGUGCUUAACACAUGCAAGUCGAACGGAAAGGCCCCUUCGGGGGUACUCGCGUGGCGAACAGGUGGGUAACACGUGAGUAACCUGCCCUUGACUUCGGGAUAACUUCAGGAAACUGGGUCUAAUACCUGAUAGGAAUCCUUGCUGCAUGGUUGGGGUUGGAAAGCUUCGGGGGGUUUGGGUGGACUUGCGGCCUAUCAGCUUGGUUGUGGGGUAGGGGCUUACCAAGGCUUUGACGGGUAGCCGGCCUGAGAGGGCGAACGGCCAAAAUGGGGCUGGGAAACGGCCCAGACUCCUACGGGGGGCAGGAGUGGGGAAUAAUGCACAAAGGGCGGGAGCCUGAUGCAGCAACGCCGCGGGCGGGAUGACGGGCUUCGGGUUGGAAACCGCUUUCAGCAGGGGCGAAGCUGGUGGUGACGGUACCUGCAGAAGAAGCACCGGCUAACUACGUG
rnacentral:rRNA from 1 species